UCUGCUACAGAUGUAAUGCGAGGAGUCCAUCCGAGGCGUUGAGAGAAGCGAUUGAAAGCGACAGAACGCAAAGGGCUUUUCACACAGCCUUAUCGCACAAUCCACGCUAUGCCCGUAGUUUCCAGUGAUGGGGAGGAGUGGGACGACAAGCCUCCUCCAUACCAGAGUCAGCCUCCGCCGUACCAGGAUCAGCCUCAGAGGGUCCAUGUGACCGAGACCAGACGUGACAGGGACACUGAAGGCGGAAGCAAGUGCCCCAAAUGCUGCCUUAAAACGCGCGACUGCCUCAUGAGCGCCGAAUGCGGCCGGGCGCUGCAAAUCUCCAGCGUCGUCGCCAUGUGUGGAAUGUGCCUCCGUUUCUUUGUCUAAUCUCCACUACCAACCCAACUUUUCCGGGCUACGUUGACUCCCCAAGGUCCUUCAAAAUCUUCCAAAGGAUCUAUUGCUUUUAGGAUGCCAAAUGCCAUCGUACACUCAUCAUGUAUGCUAUGUGAGUGAGUGGUGAAAAUGUGCUGCUAUGAAUUUAAAUCAGAGUUUCUUAAUAAUGUAUCAUUGUUUUUAAAGGCAAGGCUUGUGCGGCGUCUUGUGCUUUGAAAUAAAAUACAAUGGAAAAAAUACUUGUUUUUCAAUCUGCUGCUCCUGAGGCUUUUUUUCUCAAUUUUAUACAUAUAAAUUAAAAAAUGACAGCCAGCAGAUGAUAAAGUGACACAGUUGUAUGAUUCAAACCCAGACUUGCAGAUGAUCGACAGCAGCGAGGAGAGCGACUUGUUGUCGCAGGGGAUUGUGGGAAUGCGGCAUCAAUGAUCUCAGAUGGAUUUGGUGUCAGGAAACAAAACUAAUUCGGCCGCAUCAGCUUGAUCCUGACCUUGUGACAUUCACAACGAGGGGAGAAAGGUCAAAAAUCAAACACGGGGAUCGAAACUGUCCAGAGCAAACUGACACGUGAGCAGAUGAGAAUGUUUUUGGCCGUGGUGAUGUCGCAUGAGGCACAAUAAAUAA